GAUGAAGAACGUAGUGAAAUGUGAUACGUAAUGUGAAUUGCAGAAUUCAGUGAAUCAUCGAGUCUUUGAACGCACAUUGCGCCCCCUGGUAUUCCGGGGGGCAUGCCUGUCCGAGCGUCAUUGCUGCCCUCAAGCACGGCUUGUGUGUUGGGCCUCCGUCCUCCUCCCGGGGGACGGGCCCGAAAGGCAGCGGCGGCACCGCGUCCGGUCCUCGAGCGUAUGGGGCUUCGUCACCCGCUCUUGUAGGCCCGGCCGGCGCUUGCCGACACAUCAAUCUUUUUUCCAGGUUGACCUCGGAUCAGGUAGGGAUACCCGCUGAACUUAAGCAUAUCAAUAAGCGGAGGA
rnacentral:misc_RNA from 1 species